rnacentral:rRNA from 1 species
GAUGAACGCUGGCGGCGUGCCUAACACAUGCAAGUCGAGCGAACAGACGAGGAUCUUGCUCCUCUGACGUUAGCGGCGGACGGGUGAGUCACACGUGUAUAACCUACCUAUAAGACUGGGAUAACUUCGGGAAACCGGAGAUAACCCCGGAUAAUAUCUUGAACCGCAUUGUUCAUUGGAGAAAGACGGUUUUGCUGUCACUUAUAGAUGGUUCCGAGCUGCAUUAGCUAGUUGGUAAGGUUACGGCUUUCCAAGGCGACGCUGCGUAGCCGACCUGAGAGGGUGGUCGGCCAACCUGGAACUUGAACACGGUCCAGACUCCUGCGGGAAGCAGCAGUAGGGAAUCUUCCGCAAUGGGCGGAAGCCUUACGGAGCAGCGGCGCGUGAGUGGUGGAGGGCCUCGGAUCGUAAAACUCUGUUAUUGGGGGAGAACAACUGUGUAAGUAACUAUGCACGUCUUGACGGUACCUAAUAAAAAAGCCACGGCUAACUACGUG